UAGGGAAUCUUCCACAAUGGACGCAAGUCUGAUGGAGCAACGCCGCGUGAGUGAAGAAGGGUAUCGGCUCGUAAAGCUCUGUUGUUAAAGAAGAACGUGGGUAAGAGUAACUGUUUACCCAGUGACGGUAUUUAACCAGAAAGCCACGGCUAACUACGUGCCA
rnacentral:rRNA from 1 species